rnacentral:rRNA from 1 species
CACUAUCGUUAACUGAAUACAUAGGUUAACGAGGCGAACCGGGGGAACUGAAACAUCUAAGUACCCCGAGGAAAAGAAAUCAACCGAGAUUCCCCCAGUAGCGGCGAGCGAACGGGGAGCAGCCCAGAGUCUGAAUCAGCUUGUGUGUUAGUGGAACGGUCUGGAAAGUCCGACGGUACAGGGUGAUAGUCCCGUACACCAAAAUGCACAGGUUGUGAACUCGAAGAGUAGGGCGGGACACGUGGUAUCCUGUCUGAAUAUGGGGGGACCAUCCUCCAAGGCUAAAUACUCCUGACUGACCGAUAGUGAACCAGUACCGUGAGGGAAAGGCGAAAAGAACCCCGGCGAGGGGAGUGAAAAAGAACCUGAAACCGUGUACGUACAAGCAGUGGGAGCACCUUCGGGUGUGACUGCGUACCUUUUGUAUAAUGGGUCAGCGACUUAUAUUCUGUAGCAAGGUUAACCGUAUAGGGGAGCCGCAGGGAAACCGAGUCUUAACUGGGCGUUAAGUUGCAGGGUAUAGACCCGAAACCCGGUGAUCUAGCCAUGGGCAGGUUGAAGGUUGGGUAACACUAACUGGAGGACCGAACCGACUAAUGUUGAAAAAUUAGCGGAUGACUUGUGGCUGGGGGUGAAAGGCCAAUCAAACCGGGAGAUAGCUGGUUCUCCCCGAAAGCUAUUUAGGUAGCGCCUCGUGAAUUCAUCUUCGGGGGUAGAGCACUGUUUCGGCUAGGGGGUCAUCCCGACUUACCAACCCGAUGCAAACUACGAAUACCGAAGAAUGUUAUCACGGGAGACACACGGCGGGUGCUAACGUCCGUCGUGAAGAGGGAAACAACCCAGACCGCCAGCUAAGGUCCCAAAGUCAUGGUUAAGUGGGAAACGAUGUGGGAAGGCACAGACAGCCAGGAUGUUGGCUUAGAAGCAGCCAUCAUUUAAAGAAAGCGUAAUAGCUCACUGGUCGAGUCGGCCUGCGCGGAAGAUGUAACGGGGCUAAACCAUGCACCGAAGCUGCGGCAGCGACACUAUGUGUUGUUGGGUAGGGGAGCGUUCUGUAAGCCUGCGAAGGUGACCUGUGAGGGUUGCUGGAGGUAUCAGAAGUGCGAAUGCUGACAUAAGUAACGAUAAAGCGGGUGAAAAGCCCGCUCGCCGGAAGACCAAGGGUUCCUGUCCAACGUUAAUCGGGGCAGGGUGAGUCGACCCCUAAGGCGAGGCCGAAAGGCGUAGUCGAUGGGAAACAGGUUAAUAUUCCUGUACUUGGUGUUACUGCGAAGGGGGGACGGAGAAGGCUAUGUUAGCCGGGCGACGGUUGUCCCGGUUUAAGCAUGUAGGCUGGUUAUCCAGGCAAAUCCGGAUAAUCAAGGCUGAGGUGUGAUGACGAGGCACUACGGUGCUGAAGUAACAAAUGCCCUGCUUCCAGGAAAAGCCUCUAAGCAUCAGGUAACAUCAAAUCGUACCCCAAACCGACACAGGUGGUCAGGUAGAGAAUACCAAGGCGCUUGAGAGAACUCGGGUGAAGGAACUAGGCAAAAUGGUGCCGUAACUUCGGGAGAAGGCACGCUGGUGUGUAGGUGAAGCCCCUGCGGGUGGAGCUGAGACCAGUCGAAGAUACCAGCUGGCUGCAACUGUUUAUUAAAAACACAGCACUGUGCAAACACGAAAGUGGACGUAUACGGUGUGACGCCUGCCCGGUGCCGGAAGGUUAAUUGAUGGGGUUAUCCGUAAGGAGAAGCUCUUGAUCGAAGCCCCGGUAAACGGCGGCCGUAACUAUAACGGUCCUAAGGUAGCGAAAUUCCUUGUCGGGUAAGUUCCGACCUGCACGAAUGGCGUAAUGAUGGCCAGGCUGUCUCCACCCGAGACUCAGUGAAAUUGAACUCGCUGUGAAGAUGCAGUGUACCCGCGGCAAGACGGAAAGACCCCGUGAACCUUUACUAUAGCUUGACACUGAACAUUGAGCCUUGAUGUGUAGGAUAGGUGGGAGGCUUUGAAGCGUGGACGCCAGUCUGCGUGGAGCCAACCUUGAAAUACCACCCUUUAAUGUUUGAUGUUCUAACGUUGGCCCCUUACCGGGGUUGCGGACAGUGUCUGGUGGGUAGUUUGACUGGGGCGGUCUCCUCCCAAAGCGUAACGGAGGAGCACGAAGGUUAGCUAAUCCUGGUCGGACAUCAGGAGGUUAGUGCAAUGGCAUAAGCUAGCUUGACUGCGAGCGUGACGGCGCGAGCAGGUGCGAAAGCAGGUCAUAGUGAUCCGGUGGUUCUGAAUGGAAGGGCCAUCGCUCAACGGAUAAAAGGUACUCCGGGGAUAACAGGCUGAUACCGCCCAAGAGUUCAUAUCGACGGCGGUGUUUGGCACCUCGAUGUCGGCUCAUCACAUCCUGGGGCUGAAGUAGGUCCCAAGGGUAUGGCUGUUCGCCAUUUAAAGUGGUACGCGAGCUGGGUUUAGAACGUCGUGAGACAGUUCGGUCCCUAUCUGCCGUGGGCGCUGGAGAAUUGAGGGGGGCUGCUCCUAGUACGAGAGGACCGGAGUGGACGCAUCACUGGUGUUCGGGUUGUCAUGCCAAUGGCACUGCCCGGUAGCUAAAUGCGGAAGAGAUAAGUGCUGAAAGCAUCUAAGCACGAAACUUGCCCCGAGAUGAGUUCUCCCUGAGACUUUAAGUCUCCUGAAGGAACGUUGAAGACGACGACGUUGAUAGGCCGGGUGUGUAAGCGCAGCGAUGCGUUGAGCUAACCGGUACUAAUGAACCGUGAGGCUUAACCUU